rnacentral:rRNA from 1 species
AACGAACGCUGGCGGCAUGCCUAACACAUGCAAGUCGAACGAGACCUUCGGGUCUAGUGGCGCACGGGUGCGUAACGCGUGGGAAUCUGCCCUUGGGUUCGGAAUAACAGUUAGAAAUGACUGCUAAUACCGGAUGAUGUCGAAAGACCAAAGAUUUAUCGCCCAAGGAUGAGCCCGCGUAGGAUUAGGUAGUUGGUGGGGUAAAGGCCCACCAAGCCGACGAUCCUUAGCUGGUCUGAGAGGAUGAUCAGCCACACUGGGACUGAGACACGGCCCAGACUCCUACGGGAGGCAGCAGUGGGGAAUAUUGGACAAUGGGCGAAAGCCUGAUCCAGCAAUGCCGCGUGAGUGAUGAAGGCCUUAGGGUUGUAAAGCUCUUUUACCAGGGAUGAUAAUGACAGUACCUGGAGAAUAAGCUCCGGCUAACUCCGUGCCAGCCGCCGCCGUAAAAC